UGGGGAAUUUUGGACAAUGGGGGAAACCCUGAUCCAGCCAUCCCGCGUGUGCGAUGAAGGCCUUCGGGUUGUAAAGCACUUUUGGCAGGAAAGAAACGUCGCGGGUUAAUACCCCGCGAAACUGACGGUACCUGCAGAAUAAGCACCGGCUAACUACGUGCCAGCAGCCGCGGUAAUACGUAGGGUGCAAGCGUUAAUCGGAAUUACUGGGCGUAAAGCGUGCGCAGGCGGUUCGGAAAGAAAGAUGUGAAAUCCCAGAGCUUAACUUUGGAACUGCAUUUUUAACUACCGGGCUAGAGUGUGUCAGAGGGAGGUGGAAUUCCGCGUGUAGCAGUGAAAUGCGUAGAUAUGCGGAGGAACACCGAUGGCGAAGGCAGCCUCCUGGGAUAACACUGACGCUCAUGCACGAAAGCGUGGGGAGCAAACAGGAUUAGAUACCCUGGUAGUCCACGCCCUAAACGAUGUCAACUAGCUGUUGGGGGCCUUUCGGGCCUUGGUAGCGCAGCUAACGCGUGAAGUUGACCGCCUGGGGAGUACGGUCGCAAGAUUAAAA
rnacentral:rRNA from 1 species